rnacentral:rRNA from 1 species
AUAGCGUAUAUUAAAGUUGUUGUGGUUAAAAAGCUCGUAGUUGGAUCUCAGUUCGAGUCAGGCGGUCCACUUGCCAGUGGUACUGCCUGACUGAACACUUUAUCGGCUCGUCCUUUGGUGCUCUUCACCGAGUGUCAUAGGCGAUCGAUACGUUUACUUUGAAAAAAUUAGAGUGCUCAAAGCAGGCGUAACGCCCGAAUAAUGUUGCAUGGAAUAAUGGAAUAGGACCUCGGUUCUAUUUUGUUGGUUUUCGGAAUCUGAGGUAAUGAUUAAGAGGGACAGACGGGGGCAUUCGUAUUGCGGCGCUAGAGGUGAAAUUCUUGGACCGUCGCAAGACGAA